CACGUAGGCGGCCAUUCAAGUCAGAGGUGAAAGCCCGGGGCUCAACCCCGGAACUGCCUUUGAAACUAGAUGGCUUGAAUCUUGGAGAGGCGAGUGGAAUUCCGAGUGUAGAGGUGAAAUUCGUAGAUAUUCGGAAGAACACCAGUGGCGAAGGCGACUCGCUGGACAAGUAUUGACGCUGAGGCGCGAAAGCAUGGGGAGCAAACA
rnacentral:rRNA from 1 species